rnacentral:rRNA from 1 species
CGUUUCAGAUAGCCAUGCACGUCUAAGUACAAACUAAAUGAUGGUGAAACUGCAAAUGGCUCAUUACAACGGUUAUGAUGUACCCGGGAGUUCCGAUGGAUAUUUCCAGUAACACUAGAACUAAUACAUGUCCCUGCGUUUAUUAGUUUCGCACAGUCCGUCGCUGAGUCAUGGUAAACAGUUGAUCGACUCGACGUCCCGGAACAGUUUCCGCCCCAUCAGCUUCGAUGGUUGGGUAUUGGCCUACCAUUGCAACAACGGGUAACGAGGAAUUAGGGUUUGAUUUCGGAGAGGGAGCCUGAGAAACGGCUACCACAUCUACGGAUGGCAGCAGGCGCGCAAAUUACCCAAUGCAGACACUGUGAGGUAGUGACGAGAAAUAAUAAAGCGGGACUUCUGUUUCGCUAUUAUAAUGAGGAAUAACCAAAGGUCAUUCCGAUUAGCAACUGAUGGGAAAGUCUGGUGCCAGCAGCCGCGGUAAUACCAGCGUCAGUAGCAUA